UCCCUGGUGGCUCAGAGGGUAAAGCGUCUGCCUGCAAUGCAGAAGACCUGGGUUCGAUCCCUGGGUCAUGGAA
rnacentral:tRNA from 1 species